ACGAACGCUGGCGGCGUGCUUAACACAUGCAAGUCGAACGGAAAGGCCCUGCUUUUGUGGGGUGCUCGAGUGGCGAACGGGUGAGUAACACGUGAGUAACCUGCCCUUGACUUUGGGAUAACUUCAGGAAACUGGGGCUAAUACCGGAUAGGAGCUCCUGCUGCAUGGUGGGGGUUGGAAAGUUUCGGCGGUUGGGGAUGGACUCGCGGCUUAUCAGCUUGUUGGUGGGGUAGUGGCUUACCAAGGCUUUGACGGGUAGCCGGCCUGAGAGGGUGACCGGCGACAUUGGGACUGAGAUACGGCCCAGACUCCUACGGGAGGCAGCAGGGGGGAAUAUUGCACAAUGGGCGGAAGCCUGAGGCAGCAACGCCGCGUGCGGGAUGACGGCCUUCGGGUUGUAAACCGCUUUCGCCUGUGACGAAGCGGGAGUGACGGUAAUGGGUAAAGAAGCACCGGCUAACUACGUG
rnacentral:rRNA from 1 species